AGGAGGUGAAGGGGAGUGAGGACUGGUCAGUUGACAGUUGAGCAACGGAUGAGAGAGGGACUGAGCUAACGAAGCAGGGGAAGCGCUGUAAGGCUACGGAGCUUGAGGACAGGGUUUGGUCUCCCUUCGCGAUCAGCGACUCUCACCCGGUGUUUGGCACCCAGCAGCAGUAGCGAUGUGAGCUCUCCCUCGGCAGCAGUGAGCGGAAAAUCCACGCCGGCGGGACCCGGGACGCAAGCCUCCAGCGGCGGUGGUGAGGAGCUGAGCUGAGGCAGCUGGCAGUGACGCAGAGAUCCGGAGGGAGAAGAGAGGAGCGGCCUGUUGGUGAGUGACGGCCAGGGAGGCGGAGCCAUCUAUAAUAAAAAGAAACAAAGAGUCAGCCACAGCUGAGAGUAUUGGAAAGGUACCUUAACUUUAUUAAUCCUACAACUCCACGCAGGCACACCACACAGAGAGUCAAGCUACCUGCAAAUAGCAAUAAGUGCACUUAUUAAACAGACUGAAAAGUAGUAAAAGACACACUGCAGUGUAAUUCAGCAUUGAUUCAACACGUUCAUAUAGUAGUCCGGAGGCAGCAAUCGACACAACUAGUAAGCAUCGAUAGGAGAAAAGAUUGUAUCGCAGUUAAGAGCUAUCACAUUUCCGUCAGGAAUCAAGCCUCUGCUACCCUACUAUGCUAACAACAAAGAGAGGGAAUCAGUGUAAUACGUCCUAAAGUCAGGAGAAUGAACUGAAUCCGUCAAGUUACAUAGAUGUGCAUGUCCACCCAGUGAGAGAGGAAUACCAGUGACUUGGUAAUGGAGUGACUAAUAAAUACCUUCAUUAAGGCACUCACAGUCAUUUACAGUAACAGGGCGUUUUACAGAUCUCAACAGUAAAUUCUGAACGAGAGACUAUAGCUUGGACGGGAAUUAAUUGUGAUAGAUCCACUAAGAGACGUCACCCAUAUUAGAGUGGUAACUGUAUUCGUCCAUCAAUAAGGACAAGUUCAAUUAACAUGAUAAAAGUAGUACCCAAUUGAACUGCAUUGUGAAGUCAGACUUGGGGAGUACCGGGGACGUGAUUCAUGUACUAAUCUUACAAAGUUGUAGUACGUACAUUUAACCAGCAAUACUGGUCUGUUAGAGUUUUACCAAAUGUUUUAUGCUUGUAUUCACGUAUAACCGGCAUGUUAUUAGAGAAAGUUGGGUAUCCAUUUAUUUACAGGCGGAAUUGACAGCACGGAGUAGUGUAAUAAACACGGUUACUAACUGUAAAGUUAAUUAUUCUGUUGACAAUGAAACCGUAUUGUGAUGGUUUAUCGAAUUAAUACUUAUUUAAUUUACCAGGAAUUUCUUAAGCACCAUUGCUAUAUCAAUAAAUUGAAAUUAAUUCUAAGCAACUAAAGGCAACGGUUAUUUCUUAGGAGUUGUCCGACACACCUCUCAGCAAAGUUCUAUACUGGUAAAGGUCCAGGCGGCAGGAAUAAAAAGCAUCUGAUGUUAUUUCCCUAGAGACUUCACAUGAUAUAAAUAGUCUGUCUGGAAACCCUUUAUCCACGCCAUAAAGAUGAUUUGUCUGACAUAUCUACUCUGUGUCUUUUGUCUUUACAUCCAAGCUUCAUAUGGAGACAUUGUGAUGACUCAGACCCCAGGUUAUAUCUCUGUGUCACCAGGAGGAUCAGUCACCAUCUCAUGUAAACCCAGCUCAAGUAUCCUUUGGAGCACAAAUUCCAAAGAUUGCUUAGCCUGGUACCAACAGAAACCAGGACAGCCUCCAAAGCUUCUAAUCAUCUGGGCAAGUGAACGUCAGUCUGGGAUCCCAGAACGUUUCAGUGGAUCUGGAUCAGGAUCUGAUUUCUCUCUCACAAUUAAGGGAGCAAUUGCAGAAGAUGAGGCAGAGUAUCACUGUCAGCAGUAUCUCAGCUUUCCUCUCACACAGUGAUACAGAGUCGUACAAAAACUUCCUUCCCCUUUCUGUACUUAUUGGGACUAAUGCAGAUGUGGACGAAUGGUGCAUUGCUUACUUGUUCAAACCAAUGUUGUCCUGUCUUACUAUACUGUUUAUUAUAUCAGGGUCGGAUCUAGACUUUUCUUUUAGGGGGGGCGGUUUACGGUUUAAUCUUGACCACUCCCCUCUCCAGUCCCGACUCCUCCCCUCUCUCAUAUUGACUCCUCCCCUCUCAUCUUGACUCCUCCCCUCUCCAGUCCAAAUUCCUCCAUCACACAAAUAAGUAUAAUUGCAGGUAAAGGAUUUGUUAGUGGAUGUUAGGUAUAAUAAUCACUUCUACAACACAUCAAAGCAAAGUUGCCCAAUUUGACAUCUAUCCAAAUACCUCCUUAUGUUCAUCAUAAUGUAUGACACGUCACGUACAGUU